CAAUACUCUCAAUUAUAUGUUGUAGUAGUUUUUCCGGCUAUCAUCUCCAAGUAAUGAUAAUUGGUUUCUUUUGUGGAGUGAGAAAAUAGUGAAAAAGUUCCCUGCAAAGCUCAAAGUCAGCCAGGCCUUAGUGGGACAGACCAAGGACAAACUGGAAACACAUUGGUCUCUCAUGGCCUCCAAUCUUGAUGAUGCAGGUGACCUGAUGGAUAAGAUGACUCUGCACCCUGGAGCUGAACCACACCUGGCUAGAUGCAGAGACGCUGAAGGAGAAGAUCUGGAGGGAUGUGGCGGAGCUGCAGGCCUGGCUGCUGUCCUUUGCCGAGAUCAAUGACAAUGUGUGUGAGCCGCAACUGCACAUGAAUGAUACCCACCUUCUGGGAGUUAAAAAUGUCACCUUCCCGAUCUCAGAUAAAUUUCUCGUGUAGCAACCUUAAUUUGGGGACACGUAGUUUCAAAUUAGUGAAAUUGACACAAUGAAAAAGCAUCCACUCUUUAUAGAUUUCUGUGACUUUUUUCUCUCAAUAUUUACUUUGUAAGCUGUUUUGUGUAGCUGUAUAUCCUUAACUUUCAUUCGUAUAUAAUAAUUCAUUAUGGGAAAAAUCCAAAAUUUAUUUAUCCAUUCUCUCAUUUAUGGACGUUUCACUUGUUUCAAGUUAUAAUUGUUAUCACAAAGAGUGCUGCUGUAGACAUUCUUGUCUGUUUCUCCUGAUGUAAUUAUAAAGGCAUUUCUCCAUGGUUUAGAAAUAGGAGAAUGUAGGAUAUAUAAAUUUUCAGCUUUAUAAAAUAAUUCCAAAUUGUUUGUCAGGGUGGUUUUACCAAAUUUGUACUCCUGUCCGUGCUAUAUAGAGUUUUACUUGAAGCACGUGCUUGCCAACACUUGGCAUUCUCUUACUUGUUAAUAUUUUCUAGUCUGAUGAGAGUAGAAUGAUAGAUCUUUGUGAUAUUUAUUUGCAUUUUUCUGAUUGUUAAUGAGAUUGAAUAUCUUUUCAUAUGUUUAUUCUCCAUUUCUUUUUUAUCUUCUGGAAAUUCCUGUUCAUUUAGUUUCACCCAUUUUUUUCUAAUAUGUUUUCUUUUCCUU